rnacentral:rRNA from 1 species
AAUAAGGGAGUACUCAUAGGACUUAGGUUAAAUUAAAAGCUUUUCUAUGCCUUUUGUCUCAGGAUUUAUUAAAAUAAUUAAGUAUAAAUAAAUCUCGAGCCUCAUACGAGCUAAUAGGCUGCUAUUUAAUAAGUGUUUGUUAUUUUUAGAAGUGAAACUCUACGAGUUGAGAUAACUAGUUCUGGUUUAUUAAGGGAGUAAGUCUCUUUUUAACUAAUGACGUAUUUAAUUAUAUAAAAUUUAACUUUUAUAUUAAGUUUAUUUAUAGUUUACUACAAAUAAUAGAAGCUUAAAAUAAAAUAUAGACAGUGAUCAGUAAAAUCUAUAUUUAAUUAAGAUAUGCUACAAUGAUAAAAUUAUUAUUAAUUAAGUACUUAUUUAAGUGACUAAAAAUACUAUUGAAUGUUUAUCAAAAACUUUUCUUUUUGUUGCUUAGAGGGUAAGGCCUGCCCAGUGAAACUUAAACGGCUGCGGUAUCCUGACCGUGCUAAGGUAGCAUAAUCAUUUGUUUUUUAAUUGAAACCUGGAAUGAAUGGUUUAACAAUUGUCUUUUAUCUAAAUUAGAUUAAAUAAUUUGGGGUUGGAGUAAAAACACUCUAAUAACAGAGAGGGACGAUAAGACCCUAGAAGCUUUAUAACUAAACUACUUACCUUUUUUUUAUAAUAAGUAUUUAUGAAAAUUAUUUAACUGGGGCGGUGGUAUUAUAUAAACUAUUAUUUAAUUAAACACUUGGCUUUAAGGUCCUUUAUAUAAGGAAAAAUAGAUUAAGUUACUCUAGGGGUAACAGCGUAAUAUCUAUGGAAAGCCCAUAUUUAUAUAGAUGAUUGCGACCUCGAUGUUGAAUUAAAAUAUCACUAUAAAGCAGAAAUUAUUAGUGAGAGUUUGUUCAACUUUUAAAUUUUUACAUGAUUUGAGUUCAAAUCGGUUUAAGCCAGAUUGGUUUCUAUCUUCUCAUAAAUAAAAACCGGUUUAGUACGAAAGGACCAAAAGGUGUUUA